GACGAACGCUGGCGGCGUGCUUAACACAUGCAAGUCGAACGGAAAGGCCCCUUUGGGGGUACUCGAGUGGCGAACGGGUGAGUAACACGUGAGUAACCUUCCCUUGACUUCGGGAUAACUUCAGGAAACUGGGGCUAAUACCGGAUAGGAAUCCUUGCUGCAUGGUGGGGGUUGGAAAGCUUCGGCGGUUUUGGAUGGACUCGCGGCUUAUCAGCUUGUUGGUGGGGUAGUGGCUUACCAAGGCUUUGACGGGUAGCCGGCCUGAGAGGGCGACCGGCCACAUUGGGACUGAGAUACGGCCCAGACUCCGACGGGAGGCAGCAGUGGGGAAUAUUGCACAAUGGGCGGAAGCCUGAUGCAGCAACGCCGCGGGCGGGAUGACGGCCUUCGGGUUGUAAACCGCUUUCAGCAGGGGCGAAGCUUGUGGUGACGGUACCUGCAGAAGAAGCACCGGCUAACUACGUG
rnacentral:rRNA from 1 species